rnacentral:rRNA from 1 species
UACGGAGGGUGCAAGCGUUGUUCGGAUUUACUAGGCGUAAAGCGCGUGUAGGCGUCUUAGUAAGCCUUAACUUAAAACCUACGGCUUAACUGUAGGAUGCGUUGAGGAACUACUAGGAUUGAGUUUAAGAGAGGAGAGUAGAAUUCCUGGUGUAGCGGUGAAAUGCGUAGAUAUUAGGAAGAAUACCUGUGGCGAAGGCGACUCUCUGGCUUAAAACUGACGCUGAGACGCGAAAGCGUGGGGAGCGAACAGGAUUAGAUACCCGCGUA